rnacentral:rRNA from 1 species
CCUACGGGCGGCAGCAGUGAGGAAUAUUGGUCAAUGGGCGCGAGCCUGAACCAGCCAAGUAGCGUGAAGGAUGACUGCCCUACGGGUUGUAAACUUCUUUUAUAAAGGAAUAAAGUGAGGCACGUGUGCCUUUUUGUAUGUACUAUAUGAAUAAGGAUCGGCUAACUCCGUGCCAGCAGCCGCGGUAAUACGGAGGAUGCGAGCGUUAUCCGGAUUUAUUGGGUUUAAAGGGUGCGUAGAUGGGUUGUUAAGUCAGUGGUGAAAGUUUGCGGCUCAACCAUAAAAUUGCCGUUGAUACUGGUCGUCUUGAGUACAUUUGAGGUAGGCGGAAUGCGUGGUGUAGCGGUGAAAUGCUUAGAUAUCACGCAGAACUCCGAUUGCGAAGGCAGCUUACUAAACUGUCACUGACAUUGAUGCUCGAAAGUGUGGGGAUCAAACAGGAUUAGAUACCCUAGUAGUC